rnacentral:lncRNA from 1 species
AGAGUUUUUUUCAGCUUUGUAUGCUUAUCUUUGUGUUCUGAUUAUAAGUUUUAUAUAGAUAUCAGACAAUGAAACUUGUCAUUUAAGUAGACAGGGAGUCUGAAUAAGGUCAGGAAUAACUUAACUCCAGUGAUUUGCAUUAACAAAUCACUGAUAGGAUGCAACUUCCUGUUGACUCCCAAUUUUGAAUGUAAUCUUUAGAAUUAUCUAAACUAAGUUGCAUGCAGAUUUCAGAGUUUGAAACAGUUUAUAAAUAACCUGUUUUUUUCUUGGUCUUUAUUAUCAAGUAAAUUCU